rnacentral:rRNA from 1 species
UACGAAGGGGGCUAGCGUUGCUCGGAAUGACUGGGCGUAAAGGGCGCGUAGGCGGCGCAGUUAGUCAGGCGUGAAAUUCCUGGGCUCAACCUGGGGACUGCGCUUGAUACGGCUGUGCUUGAGGAUGGAAGAGGCUCGCGGAAUUCCCAGUGUAGAGGUGAAAAUUCGUAGAUAUUGGGAAGAACACCGGUGGCGAAGGCGGUGAGCUGGUCCAUUACUGACGCUGAGGCGCGACAGCGUGGGGGAGCAAACAGG